UACGAAGGGGGCUAGCGUUGUUCGGAAUUACUGGGCGUAAAGCGCACGUAGGCGGACUACUAAGUCAGGGGUGAAAUCCCGGGGCUCAACCCCGGAACUGCCUUUGAUACUGAUAGUCUCGAGUCCGGAAGAGGUGAGUGGAAUUCCGAGUGUAGAGGUGAAAUUCGUAGAUAUUGGGAAGAACACCGGUGGCGAAGGCGAAUCUCUGGACAGUUCCUGACGCUGAGGCACGAAGGCUAGGGGAGCAAACGGG
rnacentral:rRNA from 1 species